AAGACCUUACUUCAUAGGAUCAUUUCUAUAGUAAGCUCUUCACGAGAUCAACACGCUACGUGUGAUCGUACCAGUCGCGAAGAUGAGACGUGGCGCGGCGUCGGCUUCGGCCGUCAGCCCUCGAUGAUCGUUCACUCCUCUCUCUCGGGAGAGGAGCGUGGGGCGCUGUCGCUGGCUGAGCGGC